GAACAUCACAGCAAGUCUGUGCU
rnacentral:miRNA from 1 species